rnacentral:tRNA from 6 species
GGGCGCGUAGCUCAGCGGUAGAGCACUACGUUGACAUCGUAGGGGUCACAAGUUCGAUCCUUGUCGCGCCCACCA